AACGAACGCUGGCGGCAUGCCUAACACAUGCAAGUCGAACGAGACCUUCGGGUCUAGUGGCGCACGGGUGCGUAACGCGUGGGAAUCUGCCCUUGGGUUCGGAAUAACAGUUAGAAAUGACUGCUAAUACCGGAUAAUGUCUUCGGACCAAAGAUUUAUCGCCUUUAGAUGGGCCCGCGUAAGAUUAGCUAGUUGGUGGGGUAAAGGCCUACCAAGGCGACGAUCUUUAGCUGGUCUGAGAGGAUGAUCAGCCACACUGGGACUGAGACACGGCCCAGACUCCUACGGGAGGCAGCAGUGGGAAUAUUGGACAAUGGGCGAAAGCCUGAUCCAGCAAUGCCGCGUGAGUGAUGAAGGCCUUAGGGUUGUAAAGCUCUUUUACCCGAGAUGAUAAUGACAGUACCGGGAGAAUAAGCCCCGGCUAACCUCCGUGCCAGCAGCCGCGGUAAU
rnacentral:rRNA from 1 species